rnacentral:rRNA from 1 species
CAGUUCGGAUUGUAGUCUGCAACUCGACUACAUGAAGCUGGAAUCGCUAGUAAUCGCAGAUCAGAAUGCUGCGGUGAAUACGUUCCCGGGUCUUGUACACACCGCCCGUCACACCAUGGGAGUUGGGAAUACCCGAAGCCUGUGAGCUAACGUUAAGAGGCAGCAGUCGAAGGUAGAAUCAAUGAUUGGGGUGAAGUCGUAACAAGGUAAC